rnacentral:rRNA from 1 species
UACGUAGGGUGCACGCGUUGUCCGGAAUUAUUGGGCGUAAAGAGCUCGUAGGUGGCUUGUCACGUCGGGUGUGAAAGCUUGGGGCUUAACUCCAGGUCUGCAUUCGAUACGGGCUGGCUAGAGGUAGGUAGGGGAGAACGGAAUUCCUGGUGUAGCGGUGAAAUGCGCAGAUAUCAGGAGGAACACCGGUGGCGAAGGCGGUUCUCUGGGCCAUAACUGACGCUGAGAAGCGAAAGCAUGGGGAGCGAACAGG